UAUAAAAAAGAAAACAAAGCACUAAAGGAUAGAAACCCUCCCUAAUAUAUUCAGAUGCACAAUCUUAUAAAACACAUGUUCCGAAAACUUGUUUUUCUUACUUGUUGUAAUUUUUUAGGCGCGUGAAGUCAUAUGGUUAUUCUUAGAUGGUGUGACAUUAGGCAGACAUCCCACCAUCCCAAUAUUUCAGAAUGUUUUCUUACAUGCUUGUUUGGACAAAACUUGUCAAUCGAUUUCUUGAGGACUAGAAGCUUAUCAAUUAAUUGAAUGCUGAAUUUGGUAGUUCCGAAAUAGCUAGCUCUCUCCUUGCAAAGAUGUAGCUAACUCUUGUGUAAACCUGUAUUUUAGAUCUUCUAGAGUGCUAGAUGAUUGUAACCUUUUUGAGGCGUUCAAGAAAAAGAUGUUGCUAGUUUAAUAUAUUAAUAUGGCUUGGUUUUAUUCUAUCAUUGAUUCCAACAAGUUUAUGAUUAGGUAUGCAGCUUUUCAUGUAAUAAUAUUAGAACAUCUUGGCUCACCUUCUUCAUGUCGCCAUGGAAUAACUUCUGAUUAUUAAUGUAAUAAGUUGUUGAUUUUGUUUCCUUUUUGUCAUACAUACUAACAUGCAUCAGCCACUUAUCACUGAAACAAAAAAAAAUCCUACUUGUGGGGUUUCUAAUCUCUACUGAGCAUCUCUGACAAAUUCUUGAAAAAAACAUAUUUUAUGUCAACUGCCCAGGCUUUUGAUUCUAUACAGAAGGUCCAAAUCAUUAUUAUUUUUUCAUUUUGGCAGUAGGCUAAUAGCUACAAGCGAGACAAUAUUUUUGAAACUUAGAUCAUAUUUAUGUCUAUUUGGGCUUGGAUGCACAAGAAAGUGGUAACUGAGGGCACAUAUUGCCCCUGAUUUUAUUUCUGUUGUUUUCUUUGAAACAAGGUAUAUGUAGAGAUAGAGUACACUUGUUCUGAUGUUAUUGACUUCAACAAUUUUAACUGCGUGCUCUGUUUCGGCAGGAGCGGCACAUCCAAGACAGGUGCUGGAGAUGCAGUGCAGUGGUUGAACUGGAGCUCGUGUCCGCACCAACAGCCUCAGGCUGGCGGCUCCAGCAGCAGCCUUUCUAUCAGACAUCUUCCCCGAACAAUUCGCUUCUUCGCCGCAGACUAUUACAAAGUGUCGAACAUUUUAGUGAUGGCCAGAAGAGACUUUUUUUAGAAAAACAAUUUGGAGGGAGGCAGGAGCUAGCUAUGAGAGUUACCGGGGGAAUUCUUACGAUCCAAAAACUGAUUCAUUCAGUUAGUUGAAUCCUUGGGAGAACAAUAUAAUGAUCUAUUUGCCCGAUAUGAUUAUGCCUUUUCCGUAAGUCAGGUUAUUUUUGUGUAAA